ACUUAAAACUUUAAUUUUUUUAAAACACAUUUUGAUUCUUUUAUAAGAAAUUUAAACAUUAUAAAUAUUUAAACAUUAUAAAUAUUUAAACAUUAUACUACGGGUGAAAUUUUAUAAUUGACUGUUUGGGUUGAUAAGAAUUUGCGAUAGAAUUAGGAGUGAAAUCCUAGAAUGAUAAUUAAAAUAUAAUUAUACAAUUAAAUACUACCACGGGUGAAAUCCUAGAAUUGACGGGCUUGAUUCGAUAUUAAUAUGGGAUGGUGUACUACGGAAUAUUUUAGAAUUGUCUGGUUUGGGUUGAUAAUAAUUUGCGAUAGAAUUAGGAGUGAAAUCAUAGAAUGACAAUUAAAAUAUAAUUAUACAAUUAAAUACUACCACAGGUGAAAUCAUAGAAUUGACGGGUUUGAUUCGAUAUUAAUAUGGAAUGGUGUACUACGGGUGAAAUCCGAGAAACAACAAUCAAAAUACAAUUAUACAAUAUUAAACAUUUAACAAAAUAAACAAAUACAACUUAAAACUUUAAAAUUUGAGUUAUAAAAUUUCGUCUAGCGGUGAAUUAUACAUUUAAAUCAAACAAUAGCAUAAAUUUAUUAAAUCAUCCUAAAAAAUAUUCAAUUAUUUUUUAUUUAAUAAAAAUAUAGGUCCGCGGUAUACCGCGGGUUAAUAUCUAAUAAAGAUAUAAACUCUUAGUCUUAGCAAAAGAACUGGGACUUGCAAGAACAAAAUUCCCUGAUUCUCUUCUAU
rnacentral:sRNA from 1 species